rnacentral:rRNA from 2 species
GGAGUUGUAAGUAAACUAAGAUCCGGAGAUGUCCAAAUGGGGAAACCCAAUGCAGUGAUGCAUUAUUACUAGCCGAAUAGAUAGGCUGGUAAAGGAAGACGCAGUGAACUGAAACAUCUAAGUAGCUGCAGGAAGAGAAAGAAAAAUCGAUUUCCUUAGUAGCGGCGAGCGAAGAGGAAAGAGCCUAAACCAAGUGAUUUAUCAUUUGGGGUAAUAGGACUGCGAUGUAGGAGCGCAAGUAAUAGCAGAACUAUCUGGGAAGGUAGGCCAGAGAGGGUGAGAGCCCCGUAAGCGAAAUUAUGAGCGCACUUAGCAGUAUCCUGAGUAGGCCGGAACACGAGGAAUUCCGGUUGAAUUAGCGAGGACCAUCUCGUAAGGCUAAAUACUAGCUAGUGACCGAUAGUGAACCAGUACCGUGAGGGAAAGGUGAAAAGAACCCCGGAAGGGGAGUGAAAAAGAACCUGAAACCGUGUGUCUACAAAUAGUCAAAGCACAUUAAAGUGCGAUGGCGUGCCUUUUGUAGAAUGAACCGGCGAGUUACGUUAAUUAGCGAGGUUAAAUCAGAAAAGAUGGAGCCGGAGCGAAAGCGAGUCUGAAGAGGGCGAGAUAGUUAGUUGAUGUAGACCCGAAACCAAGUGACCUAUCCAUGAUCAGGUUGAAGGUGUGGUAAAACGCACUGGAGGACCGAACCCGUGUAAGUUAAAAAUUGCUGGGAUGAAUUGUGGAUAGCGGUGAAAUUCCAAACGAACUUGGAGAUAGCUGGUUCUCUCCGAAAUAGCUUUAGGGCUAGCCUCGAAGAAAGGAUAAUGGAGGUAGAGCUCUGUUUGGACGAAGGGCCCGUCAGGGGUUACUGAAUCCAGAUAAACUGCGAAUACCAUGUAUCUAUCUUCGGGAGUCAGACUGCGAGUGAUAAGAUCCGUAGUCGAAAGGGAAACAGCCCAGAUCACCAGUUAAGGUCCCAAAAUCUAUGCUAAGUGGAAAAGGAUGUGGAGUUGCGUAGACAACUAGGAUGUUGGCUCAGAAGCAGCCAUCAUUGAAAGAGUGCGUAAUAGCUCACUAGUCGAGUGACGCUGCGCCGAAAAUUUACCGGGGCUAAGCAUAGUACCGAAACUGUGGAUGUAGUGGAAGACACUACGUGAUAGGAGAGCGUUCUAAAGGCGGUGAAGUUUGACCGUGAGGACAAAUGGAGCUUUUAGAAGUGAGAAUGCCGGUAUGAGUAACGAAAGAUAGGUGAGAAUCCUAUCCACCGAAUGACUAAGGUUUCCUGGGGCAGGUUCGUCCGCCCAGGGUAAGUCGGGACCUAAGACAAGGCCGAGAGGUGUAGCCGAUGGGGAACAGGUAGAGAUUCCUGUACUGCAUUUAAUCGUUACGAGCAAAGGAGCGACGCAGGAGAUAAAGAACGCAUGGUGCUGGAAAUCCAUGUUUAAGCGUUAAGUAUGAGAAUGAGUGAAAUGCUUAUUUUCGUGAAGUACGAGGCGUGAUAAGGAGCGAAAUUAAAGUAGCGAAGGUUCUAUAGUCACACUGCCAAGAAAAGCUUCUAGCCAGAGAGAAUGUACCCGUACCGUAAACCGACACAGG